rnacentral:rRNA from 1 species
AUUGAACGCUGGCGGCAGGCCUAACACAUGCAAGUCGAGCGGGGUUUUCGGACCUAGCGGCGGACGGGUGAGCAAUGCGUAGGAAGCUGCCCGAUAGAGGGGGAUACCGGGUGGAAACGACUGUUAAUACCGCAUAAUGUCUACGGACCAAAGUGUGGGACCUUCGGGCCACAUGCUAUCGGAUGCGCCUACGUGGGAUUAGCUAGUUGGUGAGGUAAUGGCUCAACAAGGCGACCAUCUCUAGCUGGUUUGAGAGGAUGAUCAGCCACACUGGAACUGGGAAACGGUCCGGCCUCCUACGGGAGGGAGGAGUGGGGAAUGUUGGACAAUGGGCGGAAGCAGGAUCCAGCCAUGCCGCGUGGGUGAAGAAGGCCUUCGGGUUGUAAAGCACUUUCAGCGAGGAGGAAGGGGUGUGUGUUAAUAGUACACACCUUUGACGUUACUCGCAGAAGAAGCACCGGCUAACUCUGUGCCAGCCGCCGCAGUAACAC